GGACGAACGCUGGCGGCGUGCUUAACCCAUGCAAGUCGAACGGUGAAGGGACCAGCUUGCUGGUUCUGGAUGAGUGGCGACCGGGUGAUUAACACGUGAGUAACCUGCCCCCUUCUUCUGGAUAACCGCAUGAAAGUGUGGCUAAUACGGGAUAUUCUGGGUCUGUCGCAUGGCGGGCCCGGGAAAGAUAUUGCUUCGGUGGGGGAUGGGCUCGCGGCCUAUCAGCUUGUUGGUGGGGUGAUGGCCUACCAAGGCGGUGACGGGUAGCCGGCCUGAGAGGGUGGACGGUCACACUGGGACUGAGGCACGGCCCAGACUCCUACGGGAGGCAGCAGUGGGGAAUAUUGCGCGAUGGGCGCAAGCCUGAUGCAGCGGCGCCGGGUGAGGGAUGGAGGCCUUCGGGUUGUAAACCUCUUUCGCAAGUGAAGCAGGCCUGCUCCUUGUGGGUGGGUUGACGGUAGCUGGAUAAGAAGCGCCGGCUAACUACGUG
rnacentral:rRNA from 1 species